ACGGGUGAGAAACGCGUAGGAAUCUGCCUUAUAGAGGGGGACAACUAGAGGAAACUCUAGCUAAUACCGCAUAAUGUCUUUGGACCAAAAGCUGGGGCAACCUGGCGCUAUGAGAGGAGCCUGCGUCCGAUUAGCUAGUUGGUAGGGUAAGAGCCUACCAAGGCGAUGAUCGGUAGCUGGUCUGAGAGGAUGAUCAGCCACACUGGGACUGAGACACGGCCCAGACUCCUACGGGAGGCAGCAGUGGGGAAUAUUGGACAAUGGGGGCAACCCUGAUCCAGCAAUACCGCGUGUGUGAAGAAGGCCUUCGGGUUGUAAAGCACUUUAGGUUGGGAAGAAGGUGUGUGGUUUAAGAGAUGACACAUUUGACGGUACCGACAGAAUAAGCACCGGCUAACUCUGUGCCAGCAGCCGCGGUAAUACAGAGGGUGCAAGCGUUAAUCGGAGUUACUGGGCGUAAAGGGCGCGUAGGUGGUUUGAUAAGUGAGAGGUGAAAUCCCUGGGCUUAACCUAGGAACUGCCUCUUAUACUGUUGAACUGGAGUACUGUAGAGGGUAGUGGAAUUUCCGGUGUAGC
rnacentral:rRNA from 1 species